rnacentral:lncRNA from 1 species
UUUUGACUAGGCCCAAAUCAUACCCAAAUCCAAAUAAAUAAUGAAUCAAACAAAACCAAAUACAAUAAAAUAAACCCAUUACAGGACCAAAUCAGAAAUUACAUGCCCAAACUAGCCUAAACAUUGGGAAAUCAGAAACCCUAGGCAGCAAACUAAGCCGCCGCAGCAUCCUUGCAACACGCCACCUUCGGUUUUCACCACCAUCGCGCCACGUUGGCAUCUAUACGCCCCAGCUGGCCCUCGUACAACUGUACCUCCGCAACAAACAAAUAAACAACCGCGCAGAAGAAGGAAA